rnacentral:lncRNA from 1 species
UGAAUAUAUACAGGAGCAAGAGAACAUAGAGAAAAGAAAGAGGCUUGGGGGCGUAUGCUCUUAUAACACAGAGCAAAUGAUUCUCCACUGAGAACACCAUGAAUAUGAAAACCAUGCAACAGAUGCAGUAUGCUGAACAUCAAAUGUUGGGAAACAAAGAUAUGGAGAAGAUUGUGGUUAUUCAACAAGGAUAAUGAGAACCUGAAAUACUACCAUGAUAAAGAAUGUCAGUGGUGCCAACACAAGAGUUUGAUUUUCUCAGAGUUUUAAGGUUUGUUUUCUGUGUUUUCAUUUGGCCCUGCAUACCCAGUUUUCAGAAUGUUAACCCUGAAAAAGGAGUUUGAAAAAGGGCUGAGUUUUGUAUUGACAACCUGGAAGUCCCGUGUCCCAGCCCUGCUGGAGCAGUGUUGCUCUCUAUGGUGUUCAGUACUGAGUUUAUAAAUCUGUACUUAGGAGUCUAGGUAAUUUAUUCCUGAUUCUCAGAGGUGGUAGAAGUGUCUUGUGAUGUUCAGGUCUUGAUCUUCGCACUCAAUUUCAGCUUCAAUAUUUUGGUUCCAGUCCCUUUAUUCAUAAAUUGGGCCUAUAGGCAGUAAGUCUGACCACAAAAAAGUACCRUGAAGACACAUUACUAAAGUGCAGUAUAUGGGAUGAGACCUUUCUAAAGCAUUGAGGAAGAGGGCUGUGUAUUACAAAGCAUGUAAGAAUUGUACUCACCCUCUCUUGAGCCCAAUUAUACAGAUGUGAACAACAGCAGGCAGUGCUCCAGCCUCUUUUCACUAUCAGUGCAAUUUCAGUCCUGUCAGAUAGAACCACGCUGUUUUCUAAGACUUUACUGCAGCCAGACUCUAACCUGAAUAAGUAAAGACAAACAGCGUGGAUAUUUGUACCUUUGUUUAACAACCAUGCCUGUGUUUUACUUA